UCGCAAAUCAAGAGAGACAAAAUACAGGAUCGGUUACAGUUUUGCAGUCCUAAAGUUGACACAACAUUGCAAUUCGCAAACCCAACCCAAAGAACCGUAAACUCACUCUCUUUGUCACCUCCUUGUGAACUCUCCACUUUCAUAACUGCACGCUCUCUCCGGAACCGCCCGUAAGCUUGCCAUUUAGUUGCCUUUCGGUUUUCGAUCCCGUCGGCUCGCAGGUACAAAAGCACGGAGAAAUGGCUGCACUUGUCCGUAAGUAAUGAAGUACCGUUUUCGUGUGAAGUGUAUUUUUUGUAUGUGAUUAAGUGCCGUUUCAAUUUUGCGCUGGUGCGCAGGCGACUUAUGAUCGGAUACAGUUUUGCAGGUGACACAACAUUGGAGCUCGCAAACCCAACCUGAAUAACCGUAAACUCAUUCUCUUUGUCACCUCCUUGUGAACUCUCCACUCUCACAACUGCACGCUCUCCCCGGAAUCGCCCGUAAGCUUGCCAUUUAGUUGCCUUUCGGUUUUCGAUCCCGUCGGUUCGCAGGUACAAAAGCACGGAGAAAU
ensembl:ncRNA lncRNA:CR45666 long non-coding RNA:CR45666